GUGCUUCAGCAGCAUAUAUACUAAAAUUGGACCAAUACAGAGAAGAUUAACAGGGGCCCUGUGCAAGGAUGACAUGAAAAUUUUGAAGCAUUCUGUAUCUUUUU
rfam:Mesocricetus auratus contig129932, whole genome shotgun sequence.